UAAGUCUCGCAACGAGCGCAACCCUCGUGUUUAGUUGCCACUAUGAGUUUGGAACCCUGAACAGACCGCCGGUGUUAAGCCGGAGGAAGGAGAGGAUGAGGCCAAGUCAUCAUGCCCCUGUGGCCCUGGGCGACACACGUGCUACAAUGGGCGGGACAAAGGGUCGCGAUCUCGCGAGGGUGAGCUAACUCCAAAAACCCGUCCUCAGUUCGGAUUGCAGGCUGCAACUCGCCUGCAUGAAGCAGGAAUCGCUAGUAAUCGCCGGUCAGCCA
rnacentral:ncRNA from 1 species